GAGAUUUCUGACUCAAUCGUGAUUGACUUUUUAAAAAAGAGAGGAGUUUCGCAUAAAUUCAAGAUCAAAUCAACUGAAUCUGGUCAAAUUUAUACAUCAACAACUGAUGAAUGCUUACAUCUUAGAGCUUCUAAAGUCAAUUUAAGUGAUGUUAUAACUUGUAAAACUCACGGAGAUUAUUUAUGCCUUGGAAUUGGUCAUGGAGACUCAUUACCAGAUGAAGAUGACAAUGGAUUGGAUUGCAUGGUGUUUAGCAAUUCAGAUCAGCGUUUAACUAGACUAUCGGGAGAAGCUCCUUUGAAAGUAAUUGAAAAAUCUUAUCUCAAAUUGUAUGGCAGUCAAUUCAGAUCUUUGGGGGUUAAAUUUGCUGUAGUUGAUGUUACAAUCGAAGAUGCUCCAGAAAAGGCGAAAUCGAACUCAACUAGCGUAUUCUUCUUCAUAUACUCCAUAUUGAUCACUAUUGUGAUAUUUGUUAAACUUGCAUUUGACUUCAGACUGAUUCAACGCCGAAAUUAUUCUCUUCGUGAUUAUGUCUCGCUUAAAUUAUUCAAAUCAAGCAUCUGAUUCCUAAAAAUAUUGCAAGAAUAGCAAAAUAAAAAAAGAAAUGUUUUCAAACUGUUGACUUUAAUUUUUAUACAUUUAAUGUUUAGUAUAUCUACACAAUAUAUAAAGUCAAUGUAUCCAAUUUUUGUGUCAAGAUUGUGGGCAAACUCAGCGGGUUCUAAUAAAAAGA